rnacentral:lncRNA from 1 species
UCGGAGCGCUGCGCUUCCCCCGCCGCCUGUCGCCGCGAGCUCCGUCAACCGGAUCUACCGCAUAGCCGCCGCGGACGUCGCCGUGCUGAAGGCCGCGGCGGGCCCCGGGCGCACGAAAAUGGAGGCGUUCACGGCGCACCUGUGGCGGCUCUGCUCCAGAGCGGCGUCCCGGCGCCAGAGCCAGUGCUGCAUGGGCGUCGUCGUGGAUGGGCGCACCCGCAUGUUCCCCGACGGCGCGAUGAAGGCCUACUUCGGCAACGUGCUCACCAUCCCCUACGGCGUCAUCGGCUCCGAAGAGCUCCGCCGCAUGGCCCUCGCCGACGUGGCGGACGACGUGCACCGGUGGGUGGUGGAGGCCGCCACCGGCGAUCACUUCCGCGGCCUCGUGGACUGGGUGGAGGCGCUGCGGCCCAAGCCGGCGGCGGCGAGGGCGUACCUGGGAGGCACCGGCGGGAGCGAGGCGAUGGCGUGCAUCGUGUCGUCCGGGAUGAGCUUCCCCGUGGGGAAGGCGGACUUCGGGACGGGGCUCCCGGCGUUCGCGUCGUACCACUUCCCGUGGCCCGCCGGCGCUGGGUACGUGAUGCCGAUGCCGAGUGCGCGCGGCGACGGCGACUGGGUGGUGUACGUGCACGUGGCGCCGGAGCUGGCCAAGGUGAUGGAGGAGGAGCCCACCGUGUUCCGAGCCCUGGAGAACAGCUACGCGUUUCAGUGAUGGGCGUAUUCAUGUACGUGCAUGCGUUGUGGUAAGCGCUGUGUACAGUACUUGUGAAGCUAAUUUAUGUCGUCAUGUAUGCCUGCGACGCCUGUCUAGAGUUGAUGUGCGUGGAGUACUCUGCAGUGCUACCAAUUUGUCCCGUUGGUAGUAACUGUGUUUCUGAAAAAAAUAAUAAUAGUACACUCUAUGUAUAAUCGUUGGCUGUUGGGCCUAGCUAAAUUAUAUGUGGGGGAAAUAUGUAAUGGUGACGAGCGGUGUUUCUACUCAGAUCCUAUUUGGUAGAACUUAGCUUCUUCACCGGUUUUUAGUGAAACUCUACCAAAGGGGCAAUUUCAAAACGGCUCCAUCAUCGAAGCUGAGGAGAAGCCACAAAAUGGCUUACACUAGAGAAGGAGGUGAAAGAAUUAUAGUAGAUUGGUAAACAUGGCUACCUUACCCGGCUCGCCAUCGGUUCCGUGUUUAUAUAGGGAUAAUCCCCCUCAAGAGUACAUGUUGUUUACAAUCGUAAUUAGCAAGGGUACUCGGUCUCUAUUACAUAUAUCUCUAUCUCUAUGCCGAGUCCAAGCUGACUACGAAUACCAGUCCCAGGCGCAUAUGCAUGUUAUACACUCCAUGCAUAUUACGUUUUACAUAAGCCGAACCUAUCUGCUGUUCUAACAGCCUCCCGCAAUCUCAACUGAUCUUGCUUGUCAGGUUGAGAUUGUUUCGAAACUCUAUGAAUUUCUGAGUUGCCAACGGCUUUGUAAAUCCAUCUGCCACUUGAUCUCUAGAAGGAAUGAACCGAAUCUGCAACUGCUUCCUGGUAACCCUUUCUCUCACAAAAUGAAAAUCAAUCUCGAUGUGUUUUGCCCUUGCAUGAAACACUGGAUUAGCUGAGAGAUAAGUGGCUCCAAGAUUAUCACACCAUAAGCACGGAAUCUGAGCUAUCCGCACACCUAGUUCUUGCAACAACGCUUCCACCCAUAUAAGUUCAGCAGUAGCAUUCGCUAAUGACUUAUAUUCAGCUUCCGUGCUUGAUCUUGACACAGUAGGUUGCUUUCUAGCGCUCCACGAUAUUAUGUUAGGUCCAAGGAAUAUUGCAAAACCACCGGUAGAUCUUCUGUCAUCAAUCGAGCCUGCCCAAUCUGCAUCCGAAAAUGCACUAAGCAGAGUUGAAUCGGAAGGUCGAAUAGUUAAGCCAACGUCCAUAGUUCCUUGAGUGUAUCGCACGAUCCUCUUUACUGCACUCCAGUGAGCCGUAGUUGGAGCAUGUAGAUACUGACAGACUUUAUUUACUGAGUAUGUGAGGUCAGGCCGGGUGAGAGUCAGGUAUUGCAAUGCUCCUACUAUGCUCCUGUACCGCGUCCCAUCUUCUAGUGACAAUGGCAUGCCAUCUUCCCCUCACAAUUUUUCUGUUGCAGACAAUGGAGUAGGUGCACUUUUGCACUUCAGCAUGCCAACCCUUGUCAAAAUAUCGGACGCAUAUUUCCCUUGCGAAAGCUGCAAACCACCAUUCACCUUUUUUACUUCGAUGCCAAGGAAGUAAUUCAGAUCUCCUAGAUCCUUCAGGGCAAACUCUUCUCGAAGUUUGUUGAGUAAAUCAGUCACGGCUUGAGGAGAGGAACUUGUAACAAUUAUAUCAUCCACAUAAAUGAGCAUGUAUAUAGUGAUGUUUCCACUAGAGUAUAUAAAGAGGGACGUAUCUGAUUUUGAUGGUCGAAAUCCAAGCGCGCAUAACUUUGUGCUCAACCUUGAGUACCAAGCUCUCGGAGCUUGUUUUAAUCCAUACAGUGCCUUGUCCAGCUUGCAAAUGUAGUUAGGCUUUGACUGAUCUUUGAAACCUGGUGGUUGCUUCAUGUAAACCUCUUCUUCCAGAACACCAUGAAGAAACGCGUUCUUCAUAUCUAAUUGUCGUAAGCACCAGCCCCUUGAUACUGCAAUAGACAAUACCAAUCUUAUUGUAGCAAUUUUAACCACAGGACUAAAAGUGUCUUCAUAGUCGAUCCCAUAUCUUUGCUUAAACCCUUUUGCGACUAAUCGAGCUUUGUAGCGAUCAAUACUCCCAUCAGAUUUCCUCUUUAACUUAUACACCCAUUUGCAGUCUAUCAAAUUUAUGUCUUGCCUUGGAGGAACAAGAUGCCAGGUGUUGUUCUUGUGUAAUGCCAUUAUCUCUUCUUCCAUCGCAUUAGUCCACUUUGGAUUGCUCAGAGCUUCAGCAAGAUUAUCAGGUUCCCCUGUCGAACAGUAGCUGGAGUAUAGAAUUGUUCCAUCUGUGAAAAAUUUUAGCUUAAAAACCCCACUUUGUGAUCUCAUGUUUGGGCGAGCAGCUGCUGAGGUCGCAAGUUCGGGCACAACGUUGCCAUCCGCACGCGAUCCAGGUUCUGCCGUGGAGGAUCGUACGGAGGUGGAGCCUCCCGCGCUCCCGUCAGCCAGCCCGGGCUCGACACGCCCAUGUCGUGACGCGGGAUGACUCCGCGCGCUACCAGCUGGCACUGGCGCUGCACCGCUGCUGCUGUCGCCAGGUGUUGCCGCCGCCGAAUCCGCAUUGCCUUCCGUGCCAGAUGCUGUUGGAAAAUCCUCCUGGAUUUCAGCGCCCGUGUCUCUAUCCAGAAACAGAGAAUUUUGCUGCUGCUGUCUGUUUUGAGUUGGGUUUUCACCGGCGAUUGCUCCUUCGUGAUCCUGCACACCAAUCACAUCACUAGAAGGCAUGUCAAGGUUAUGGUCAUCAGUAAUUAUUGGUUCAUUGCUAUUUGCUCCCCCCGGAUUGGUGGCAUAAAGAUCUUCAGAAAGGAGUAAAAUUUCUUGUCGAAGAUGAGCUCCUGCAUUCUCAUGUAGCAUCUCAAAAGGAAACACGGCCUCGUCAAAGUUAACAUCGCGCGAGAUAUACACACGCCCUGAUGAGAUGUCUAAGCAUUUGAAGCCUUUAUGGAGGGGACUAUAACCAAGGAAGGCACAUCGCGUAGAACAGAAGGAAAGCUUCUUAUUGUUGAAGGGUCGUAAAUUGGGCCAGCAGGCACACCCAAACAUACGCAAGGACAUAUAGUCAGGUUCUUCUUGGAGGAGGAGCUCAGUUGGGGUGUGAAGAUUAAGGACCUUGCUAGGCAGAAGAUUGAUGAGGUGUGUGGCUGUGAGGAACGCUUCGUCCCAAAACUUUAAUGGCAUGGAGGCUUGUGCGAGGAGAGCGAGGCCAACGUCGACGAUGUGACGAUGCUUUCUCUCGGCCGUGCCAUUCUGUUGAUGAGCAUGAGGGCAAGAGACACGAUGAGAGAUCCCUAUCUGUUUAAAGAAGGUAUUUAGCUUCUCAUACUCGCCACCCCAAUCAGUUUACAUGGAUAAAAUCUUUCGGCUAAACUUUCUUUCUACGAGUUGCUGGAAGUCACGAAAGACAGCAAAGACAUCAGAUUUUUGUCGAAGAAGAUAUAUCCAGGUGUACUUGCUAUAGUCGUCAAUAAAGUUCACAUAGUAGUUGUACCGCCCUACAGAUGUAGGUGCAAGACCCCAGACGUCGGAGUGAAUUAGAGCAAGCGGAAUGGUAGAGAUGUUCUGAGACUUGGAGUAGGGAAGUUGAUGGCUCUUGGCACGCUGACAAGAAUCACAAACGGAUGUGGUACUAUCAUCAUUAAUAAAGGGAAGAUCAUUAUUUUUUAGGACAUGAGUAACAAUGGGAAGAGCAGGAUGUCCUAGGCGACUAUGCCAUUGCUUAAUGGAUGGCCUACUUAUUACAAAAGAUUGUUUUCUCCAACUAUUAUCUAGGGAGCUCGGCACCAAAGGGUAAAGACCACCCUCACAUCUUCUUGAUGUAGAAUUCUCCUCGUUGCCCGGUCCUUAAUAAGGAAAAAAGUGGGAUGAAAUUCAAAAUAAGCAUCAUUAUCACGAGCUAAACGGUGAACAGAAGCAAGAUUUUUGUUAGCUGAUGGGACAUGGAGGACAUCUUUUAGAAGGAGGUUUCGAAUUGGGGAUUGCAAAAUAGAAUAACCAAUAUUACUAAUGCUCAUACCUGAACCACUAGCAAUGUGAACUUGAUCACGGCCGCCAUACUUCUCCCGAACAGUCAUCUUGUCGAGGUCCGAAGUAAUAUGAUCAGUUGAUCCACUGUCCACAUACCAAUUUGUAUCAACACCAUAGUAUGUAGCAUUGGCAGCUGUUUUGUUGCUCACGUUGGGCUGAAAAUCCUCCUCAAACCUGUGCCAGCACUCAAGAGCUGAAUGGUUUGGUUUAUCACAGAUUUGGCACCUUGGCUUUGAGGUACCUUGCCCGUCGAACCUCAGGUUGGUGGACUGAUUUUGUCGUCCACCAGUACCUCGACCUCCUCGGCCUCCACGUCCACGAAAUCCUCCUGAUCGACCACGAUUAAAGUUGCUGCCUCCACCGCGACCACGGGACGAAGAGAAGUUUGCUGAAGAUUGGUACUGUCCACCUUGGUUUUGCAGCAUCUCAAGUCUUGUUUCAUACGACAUUACUUGGGCAUAUAAUUCAGACAAGGGAAUUGGAUCCAACCUUCCCAUAACCGAAGUCACAAUUGGAUUAUAGUCCGCAUCUAAUCCGGUGAGUAUGAAGGAGACCAUCUCAUCAUCUUCUAUUUUCUUGCCAGCGGCUGCCAAUUCAUCACCUAGAGCCUUCAUCUUGUUGAAGUAUUCAGAUGUACUCAUACUUCCUUUCUUCAAAGUAGAAAUCUGCAUGCGUAGGUUUGUCACUCUCGCACGCGAUUGCGCUGAGAACAUUGUCUCUAGCGCCGCCCAAACAGCAGCUGCAGAAUCCAGCGUCGCAACUUGGCCCAACACAUCUUUCGAAACUGAAUUAAAAAGGAACGCAAGCACCUGCUGGUCUUGAGCAAGCCAUGCUGAAUAUGCUGGAUUGACGUGGAUCUCUUUCAUCUUGUCGUCCCUCACAACUUCUAUGGUCGUUGACGGCGACUUGAAGGAUCCAUCAAUGAUCCCCAUGAGCUAAGCGCCUCUAAUGGGGGGAAGGACUUGCGCCUUCCAAAGGACAUAGUUGUCCCGGGUGAGCUUCUCGGUAACUUGUGGCCCUAGGGGCGCAACAGAGGGGGCGCCGAAUGAUGACGCCAUAAUCGAGGCUAGCAAUUAGAUGUAUUGGAAGAAGAUAGCUCUAAUUACCAUGAAAGAAUUAUAGUAGAUUGGUAAACGUGGCUACCUUACCCGGCUCGCCAUCGGUUCCGUGUUUAUAUAGGGAUAAUCCCCCUCAAGAGUACAUGUUGUUUACAAUCGUAAUUAGCAAGGGUACUCGGUCUCUAUUACAUAUAUCUCUAUCUCUAUGCCGAGUCCAAGCUGACUACGAAUACCAGUCCCAGGCGCAUAUGCAUGUUAUACACUCCAUGCAUAUUACGUUUUACAUAAGCCGAACCUAUCUGCUGUUCUAACAGGAGGAGCCAAAAAAAGUAGCUUCACCGGCUUCUCCUCUCUUUCCAAGUAUUAAGUGAUCAUAAAAUUACCUAUAUUGCCAUUGAGAAGUCGUUUUACCAAACAUUUUGCAAAAUGGCUUCAGCUCCAUCAGAGAAGCCACUCCACCAAAGGAGUUAGAGCCAAAACUGUUUUGGAAGAAGCUGAAGCUAUACUGAACGGAGCCUAAAUUACUAAUAUAAUGGUUGACUGUAUCAUGCAUAAAAUCUGAGUCGCAUGAGCAACUAUUGUAGUAGACUGUGCUGAGUUGGAAAUAGCACAUGGCUCAAUAUGUGAAAAUACACCAGCUGAUCAGCAGCUACAUUAACACAUGGUACGGUGCGGUGAUCGGUCGAAUUUGUGCAAAGAAAAACAAGGGUCCAUCCCGGAGAUCCGACCUGCCAAGUGCCAACCGCAGACCGUGCGUGGUCCACGUGAACACACACAUCAUAUAUGGUAUAUACAAUGGCGGCAGUAUUAGAAGAACCUCUUGAUUUAAACAUUGUUGGUAUUAAGAAUUGUAAAAACAAAAAACAUUUUGGUCUUGCUUUGCUGCACAGAUAACUGCCCUUGAAACAUGAACAGCAGAAAACCCAUCAAGGUAACAAAAUUAAAUUAAGUUUAUAUGCACCCAACAGGGGUCCAUCGCAUCACCAAGCACAGAAGCAUUGAAGUUUGCAUAGACUUUGUAUGUACACAAAUGGGUUCCUUCCGCACAAAUUUCGGGAGAAUAAUGAGCAUGAAACCUACAAAGAGAGCGGAGAGAACUACAGCUUAUUCCUGAUGUAAGCAAUCCAGGCAUCGAGAGCUACUCGGCCAUGCCUUGUAUUGUACUUAUCCUGCUUUUCUAGAUUUUAUCAACAUCUCUGGUUAUUUAUCAGCUGGAAAUUCCACAAUCUUUUUUUCAUUGGAAAAAUUCAUUAAAGAUCAGGUUAGCACUAAACCCAUUCGUCCAUCUGGGUGGGCGUAGCCCCGACUUUUUUAUUUUUUAACCCUUUUUCGAAAGAUUCUCACAAAUAGACCCCUGGUGGAACCAAUUCCAAAAAUGGACCCUUGGCGCUUCUUAUCAAAAAAGGUUCAACACAGGGGUUUGAACUUAGGUCUCCAGGAUAAGAAGCUCACCUCCUAACUAGUUGAACCAUAGCUUAGUUUGUUGCAUAUUCCUCGGAAUAAUUAUAGUUGUUUAGUUCGGGGUAGAUAGCUCGGCGCCAAGAUCUACGGCGCCAAGCUUAGCGCUAAGAUCCAUGGCGCCAAGCCCCCGCCAUGUCGGCAUCCGCGUCAGCAGCUGCGCAUGGACCUUGGCGUCAGGGUGGCUGGCGUUGAGACGUGUAAGCUUGGCGCCAGCGUGGAUGGCGCCAACCUAAGGGUCCAUUUUUAGAAUUGGUUCUGCUAGGAGCGUAUUUGUGAGAAUCUUUCGCAAAAAGGGUUAAAAAAACAAAAAAAGUCGGGGCGUAGCCAUUUUCAGGCCCAAACUCAUUCCAGGCCAUUGCCCAUUGGCCUGUUUAUCUUUCCCUUGCCAGCCUGAUGAGUGGAUGGAUGACCGCGAGGCUGACUCGGGGUGUUUGGUUCCACAAAUAAAGUUUAGUCCCUGUCAUAUCGAAUAUUUAGAUACUAAUUAGGAGUAUUAAAUAUAGACUAAUUACAAAAAUUAUGUGUGCUAAUCAUAAAUUAAUUAGGCUUAAUAGAUUCGUCUCACGAAUUAGCCUCCAUCUGUGGAAUUGGUUUUAUAAUUAGCUCAUGUUUAGUCCUCCUAAUUAGUAUCUAAAUAUUUCGAUGCGAUAGAAACUAAACUUUUCCAUGGAAUCAAACACCCGGUCUUGCUCUUGCAAGAAGAAUUUUUCAGCUCCCAUCCCCACCCGAUCGGCAUUUCGGUCGUCUUUCACGUUUGGACGGAAUGUGUGAGCCUCAAAUCUGUUGGUGCACACCUAAAGUUUGCCUGUGACAGUUCGCGUGUGAUAUUUUGUGCGCUCGCGAUGAUGAUCGAGGACGACGUGAUAGUGAGAGCAGGAGUUCAGUACGUGUGAGCGAGUGAUCAGUUGUGAUUGUGACGGCGGUGUGAGGCUUUAUUUCCCAGUCCUAAACGGCUGAAUGAGCAAACGUAGCGGACGCCGCACCAUCGUGAGAGCACCGGUCACUAGCAGGGCUCGCCCUGCCUGAUACUGCAGCACCAGGGAUACAACAACGACAUGUAUUCAGUAGUUUCUCGGCUUCUCGCACAAGUUUGGUUGGAAUGCAGUUGCGACGACCCACAACGUUUACGGCCCAUCUGUUUCAAAGUCCAAGUUCACCAGCAGGUUCAUGUUUGGUUAGUUUUACUAACUUGUUAUAUUUUUCCAGCUAUAUAUCCUACGUACGCGUGUGUCCAUGCAUCGAUUUAUCUCUUUGCUAAACUUUGCUUGAGAUGUAACUAUAAAUCGUUGGGUACUUCUUAGACAAAGUUUGACAAGAAAACAAACUGACAAUGUUAGAUGCCAUCCAAACACGCUCGUACAUGCAACGGCCGGUCAGGCGUGAACGUGUGGUUCGUAUGGCCUGUCGAUUGUGGCUAGCUCUUCAAGCUAGCCGUCAGUCACAUCGCUAGAGCUUUAGGUGAAUUAUUAUUAGCCUCAAUCACUUUGGAUUAGUUCAACCCCUUUGCCUCGAUCACUACACGAGCGCAGUUGUAAGGUUUGAAAACAACGUUUUCCCUCCAAAAUACUAUAACACUUAUAUACAUAUAUACAUACUCACCCUUAUAAAUGCAUACUUGAUCCUAUAUAUAUGCACGGGUGUGUUUGAGAGAAUGGACUGACAGAUCUUGAGAUUAAAAGUCACCAUGUGCACCUCCUGAGAGAAUGGACUGACAGAUCUUGAGAUUAAAAGUCACCAUGUGCACCCCGCUGUUAAUAUGUACACACCACCGUACCUACCACUUGAGAUUGACCAAACGGGUUUGUGAACAUCGUCAAUUGGUCUAGAUCGGGUUGCAAAUAGAUUCCUGAAAUCAAAAUGGGAUUAACAAAACUGAAAGGGAACGUCGCAAAUCUCUGUUGCGCAAGCAACACAACCCCACAAACUAGGUGAAAAAAAAUCCAAAUAUCUAAGCCAACACGAUAAAAAAUUCAGGAAUAAUUACGUUGGGCAUGGAGCUGGUCGUCUAGAUAUCAUAUUGUUACACGGCAAGCUACGGUAUUGCAAGGCAAAACGAGUUGCGAUUACACUACUUUUGAGUGGCAGUGCGCGCCAACGUACCCCAUUGGUAAAAAAAAGGGUCAGUACUAUAUAUAAAAGAUUCUCUCCACCUCUAUUUUAUAAGGGAAUUACAAAUAUCUAAAAGAUUAAGAAGAAAUAAGACUCUGGUAAUGAACUGCUGUUUAUUGCAAGAUUGUGGUAUAAUUUCGUAGUAGAGCGUCUGACGACCCUGGUGAUUGGGGUAGUGCAUGUGAAGUCCACGCUCAUGCAAAAGGAAAGGUAAUGCAAUUCCUUUACAUAACCUCCAUGUUUGUCCGUGAAAUUUUUCUUUGGUUGUCUUUGCUUGGAUGCUUUGCCGGCUCCAACAAAAAUUCUAGGACGCGUCCCAACCAUCAAAUAGCUCGCGUCGUUGCUGCGGUAGUGACAGGUAACUAUACAUUUGUCGUGCACAAGUGGUAGUAUUCGGUUUCGUUCAGCUUUCUCCAAAGUCCUAAAUUUGCAACAGCACCAUAUGUGUCCAUGUGGUUUCGAGUGUUUGGUUUAUCUGAUCAAAACGAAUUCAGAAUUUCAGAUAGACAAGCAAUUGGUCCACCAUUGCAUACUCAUUCGUUGUAGCUUGAUCUACUAGUGUGUGCUAGUUCAUUUUAGUUUUUAUCACUUGUGUAAAUCUUUUUAGUCAAAUUCUUUGCACAAACCUUGGGGCCAUAUUUGUAGUACAAGGUGCUUACAAGAGGUGAAUAUCGAUAAGUACCAACAAACUCGACUUUCAUAAUAAGACACAUUUAAUUUGAUCGGUUUGUUAAUUAACCUUUGACCAAUAAUUAUUCCGCUAUUUUUUAUGUGAUACAAAACUACAACCAUAAGAAAGUUUUUUUAAAUACAGAUCUAAUGACAUUAAAAUUUAUAUGACAGAAAAAUAUGAAUAGCAAACUGUUGAUUAAAGGCUUAUCUUAAAGAAACAAAACAAUAAGCCUUGUAACUAUAAAUAGAGGGAGAAGCAAAAGGGCACAUAGCUCACUGAAAUUAUUCACCAUGGUGAACGAAGGCAACAUGGUGAACGGAGCCACCGAUGAGAACGGCAUCCAAGAGAUGACCGUCACGGUGGCGCCGGCGCCGGCGCGCCUGCCGCUGUCCAACCUGGACCUCCUCCUGCCGCCGCUCGACGUCAGCGUCUUCCUCUGCUACCCCCACCCGGCGCCCACCGCAUCCGAGCUCAAGGAGGCGCUGGCCAAGACGCUGGUGGCCUACUACCCGCUGGCCGGGCAGGUGGUCGCCAACGCCGACGGCGAGCCGGAGCUCCUGUGCAGCGGCCGUGGCGUGGACUUCACGGAGGCGAGCUCGGGCGGCGCCGCGCUGCGGGAGCUCCAGCUGGGCCUCGUGGACGAGGGCGUUAAGAAGCUGAUGCCCGCCAAGAAGGCCGGCGUGAUCGCAGUUCAGGUAUGACUCUCCAAGGUGGUCAGCCAGGCUAAGGCAUUCUCUAUCACGUUUCAAGUAAAGUACUUUGCAUUGGCAUUGGAUGACGACGUGACAUGACUUAAAGUGUACACGACCGUGCCACUGCGUUGCAUGGGAACAUGCACGCAGGUGACCAAGUUCAGGUGCGGCGGCGCCGUCAUCGGCUGCACCUUCAGCCACCGCGUCUGCGACGCCUACUCCUUCAACAUGUUCCUCGUCGCGUGGGCCGCGGCCGCCCGUGGAAGCUCAGCGCCACCGCCACCGGCCCCGUCCUUCCGCCGCUCCCUCGUCGCCCCGCGCGAUCCGCCGCCGCGCGCGCCGUCCACCGAGGCCCUCGUUGAGCGCCUGUUCUCCCCACGCAGCGCCGCACCGCCGCCUCCGGCCGCCGGCGCCGGCUCCGUCAACCGGAUCUACCGCAUAGCCGCCGCGGACAUCGCCGCGCUGAAGGCCUCGGCGGGGCCGGGGCGGACGAAGCUGGAGGCGUUCACGGCGCACCUGUGGCGGCUCUGCUCCAGGGCGGCGUCCCCACGCCAGAGCCAGUGCUGCAUGGGCGUCGUCGUGGACGGCCGCACCCGCAUGUUCCCCGACGGCGCGAUGAAGGCCUACUUCGGCAACGUGCUCACCAUCCCCUACGGCGUCAUCG